rnacentral:rRNA from 1 species
ACUCCUACGGGAGGCAGCAGUGGGGGAAUCUUGGACAAUGGGGGCAAACCCUGAUCCAGCCAUGCCGCGUGAGUGAUGAAGGCCCUAGGUCGUAAAGCUCUUUCGCCAGAGAUGAUAAUGACAGUAUCUGGUAAAGAAACCCCGGCUAACUCCGUGCCAGCAGCCGCGGUAAUACGGAGGGGGUUUAGCGUUGUUCGGAAUUACUGGGGCGUAAAGCGCACGUAGGCGGAUUGGAAAGUUAGAGGUGAAAUCCCGGGGCUCAACCCCGGAACUGCCUUUAAAACUCCCAGUCUUGAGUUCGAGAGAGGUGAGUGGAAUUCCGAGUGUAGAGGUGAAAUUCGUAGAUAUUCGGAGGAACACCAGUGGCGAAGGCGGCUCACUGGCUCGAUACUGACGCUGAGGUGCGAAAGUGUGGGGAGCAAACGAGGAUUAGAUACCCUGGUAGGAUAGCG